rnacentral:rRNA from 1 species
ACGUAGGUGGCAAGCGUUGUCCGGAAUUAUUGGGCGUAAAGCGCGCGCAGGUGGUUAUAUAAGUCUGAUUUUAAAGUUCGGGGCUCAACCCCGUGAUGGAUUGGAAACUGUAUAACUUGAGUACAGUAGAGGUAAGCGGAAUUCCCAGUGUAGCGGUGAAAUGCGUAGAUAUUGGGAGGAACACCAGUGGCGAAGGCGACUUGCUGGCCAGCAACUGACGCUGAGGCGCGAAAGCCAGGGGAGCAAACGG